UAAUCAGUUUCCACCUUCCAGAGAUCACCCACGGCCCCAAGCUCCAGAAGGCAGAAACCACCCAAGCACAGUUCACCACCCAGUCACACACAGCCAUCAGCCUCUUCGCAGUCGCAUACCCACCAGCCCACCACCACCAAACGAGCAGCCACAGCAGCGACGAUGUUGACCACCGCAACCACCACCGUCGUUGCCGAGCUCGCCUCCUCCUUGGUCGUCGCCGAGCUCGCCUACUCGUUGGUCGUCGCCGACACCGCGUCCUCGCCGUUACUCGCCUCCUCCUAAUCUACUAAUCCGGGAAGCCUGCCCCCAAGCCUAGCCUCCACCACCGCCUUGUGCCUCUAUUGCCGCUGCGCCAUUCGUCGCACCGACCCCUGUUCGCUCUCAGACUCACCAGUCGCAGGCACGCUGUUUCUUCCUCGAGCGUCCGUCGUCUUCCUCUUCCCCUGGAGCUGCUGCAUGCCUGCAUACAAAGGAUUUCUUGAUUCUUGAAGGUCAUGAGGAAGCUCAAGAAGAGUUGCCUAAGAAAGCAAAAAUCUUCUUUAGUACUGCAGUUCAGAACUGGGAUGCUGACUUUUAUGUGAAAGUUGAUGACAGUAUUGACAUUGAUCUGGAGGGAUUAAUUGACCUUCUUAACCGCCGCCGCGGUCAGGAUGGGGCAUAUAUUGGAUGCAUGAAAUCUGGAGAAGUGAUAUCAGAAGAGGGCAAGGCAUGGUAUGAGCCUGAAUGGUGGAAAUUUGGGGAUGAAAAGUCGUAAGUGAUAUAACUUUCUAUGGAAGUUUUUGUUUAUUAAAGGAGAGAUUUAAGUAGCAAUGGUUACCUUACUGCAAUUACCUUGUCAUACCUUGUCAUUUAUGUGCGUUUUGAAUAUUGUCAUUUGAAGUUGUUUAUGACCUUUUAAUGAUAAAUUAUGUAUUGUAGAUUUUGUGAAAUUGUUAAAUUUUGAAUUUUAUUAAUUUCAAAAUUAUUGAAUUUAACUUUUUAAAAUUAUGUAUUCAAUUUUUUAUAAUUUCACUCUAUAUAUUAAACCGGUUCAACCACGGUUCAACCACGGUUGAACCAUUGAACCAUUGAACCAGUUACUUGACCGGUUUGAUGACCGGUCCGGUUCUCGCAACCUUGCUUCCACGCAUCUCAUUAUAUUUUACGGGUUGCUACCAAUGUUCUGAAAAUCGGACCGGACCGGCUGGUUGAACCGGUUAAACCGGGAACCGGUGAGAGAAACGGUCCGGUCCUCCUCCUAAAACUGCCAAUUUCAAAACUGUUGGAAAACCGGAAACCGGCAGAAAACCGGUCGGUUGGGCCGGACCGGAAACCGGCCGGUUCUUAAAAAAACAAACCCACGCCGUGUCACUUACCCCCCUCCCCCAAACGCCUUCGCGAAUCAAAUGCCCUCAGUCCCUCACCACUCACCAACCCUAGCUUCUUCAAGAAUUCAGAACCCAAACCAAAAACCUAGCCUCUUCAACGGAUUCGACGCCGCCGCUCGUCGUUGUAGGCGCCUCCGCGGCCUCCUCCUCCCCCCUGUUCCAAACCAAAUCCCUAGCUCGGCACGUCGUCGUCGCGUCGUCUUCUAGCUUCGCUGUUCAAGGCUUCGAGUUCGAGAUGCUU